rnacentral:rRNA from 1 species
GGACCCGCACAAGUAGUGGAGCAUGUGGUUUAAUUCGAAGCAACGCGCAGAACCUUACCAACCCUUGACAUCCUGAUCGCGGUUACCGGAGACGGUUUCCUUCAGUUCGGCUGGAUCAGUGACAGGUGCUGCAUGGCUGUCGUCAGCUCGUGUCGUGAGAUGUUCGGUUAAGUCCGGCAACGAGCGCAACCCACAUCUUUAGUUGCCAGCAGUUCGGCUGGGCACUCUAGAGAAACUGCCCGUGAUAAGCGGGAGGAAGGUGUGGAUGACGUCAAGUCCUCAUGGCCCUUACGGGUUGGGCUACACACGUGCUACAAUGGUAGUGACAAUGGGUUAAUCCCAAAAAGCUAUCUCAGUUCGGAUUGGGGUCUGCAACUCGACCCCAUG